UUUGCUUGCAGAGAAAGGUCCCCAAGUCCCCAGAGAACUGCGUCGUCUCCCUCAAUGCGCGCGCGCGCGCACACACACACACACACACAAGCGCGCACAAAAGUUGAGGCCAUCACAUCUGCCUUCCCCAGAUGGGGUUCCCUGCGCAAAAGCCUCCUCCCACUCCAGGAUUUUCCGACACUGGCGCAAGCUCCUCCCUUGCCAGAGCCUGGCUCCAGUCCUAGCACCGAGAGCCCGCCCGAGCAGAGGCUGGGGGGCGGCGGGGAGUGGGCCCCGCUCGCCGCCAUUGGCUGUGCGGCUGUGGGGCGGAGGGAAGCCUCCCGCUGCGCCCGCCGCCCGCCGGUGCGCCCCAGCCGCGCGCAGCACCGGUGCGCUCCACCAUUCCCGCCGACCGCUUCUCCUGCGCAGGUCGGCGAGACGCGGGGCGUCCGCGAGGAGCUCGACGCAGCCCCGUCCCAGCCCGAGCUCGGGAGCCGGCGAGGGACAUCCGCGCCCCCCGAUCCGCAGUGCAGGCGAGCAGCCUCCGCUGCCCGUCUCUGCCUAUUCUCCGGGUGACUCCUCGGGGCUACAGCAGGACGCCGUGUCCUUGGUCCCGGGAUGACCCGCUUCUAUCCCGGACACGGGGCGCCGGGGAGGUCUGCCCUCGCGUCUGCGGCUGCAGAGAUGGGUUGAUUCCCCCGCUCAAGUGCAGGCACUUCUACACUUUGCGGAGCGUGUCUCUCUGGGUGCACGCUCGCCUUCGCGAGAAAGGUUAUUCUUGCCUUUGCGGUGUGUGCGGUCAAGCUCUUGCGUGUUGGGCGCCCACCUGGAUUUCUAGGGUCACCCCUCCCUUCCUGAGGACUCGCGGCGCGCACACUGAGCGCCCGCGUUGUGCCUUACCUGCCUCGCGUGCGUCUUCACCGGUCCCCGGCGGCUCCAAAUCCGAGUAAGUUCUACUGGCGCGGAACAGGCUGCCGUUCCCCAGCCGCGGUUUUCCGAGUCCUUGUUCUUGGAAAACGCACCGGCUUCCUCCCGGUUUUCCCUGAUCUGAUGAGACGCUGGAAUCCCGCGUUUUCCGCCCGAGGUCCGUGGAUCAUGGGCAGAUGGUCUGAUUUCUAAUUGAGGAGGAAGGUGAGUCCUGCGGGGAGCAUCGGACUCCUCCAUUCACAGACUCGUCUCGUUG
rnacentral:lncRNA from 1 species